GAGUAAGGAUUCGUAGGUGACCUGCGGAAGGAUCAUUAAAGAUUCUAAGGCUUCGGUCUUAAUUUCGGCUGUGCGCUCAGGCUGCACGCCGAUAACCUCUCACACCUGUGCACCUUUUCGGUUGCGGUUUCGGCCGCUUCCGCUUUUACAUGCAACCACGAAAAGUCUAGAAUGUGACGAGAACUAUAAAGUAACAACUUUCAACAACGGAUCUCUUGGCUCUCGCAUCGAUGAAGAACGCAGCGAAAUGCGAUAAGUAAUGUGAAUUGCAGAAUUCAGUGAAUCAUCGAAUCUUUGAACGCACCUUGCGCUCCUUGGUAUUCCAUGGAGCAUGCCUGUUUGAGUGUCACGUAAACCCUCACCCCUGCGAUGUAACAGUCGCCUGCGGUGGACUUGGACCGUGCCGGUAAUCGGCUCGUCUUGAAAUGCAUUAGCUGGUGCUUUUAGAGUGCUGGGCGAACGGUGUGAUAAUUAUCUGCGCCGACUGCCCUGGGCCUCUUCAGCGGCGCUGCUUACAGCCGUCCCUUGUGGACAACUAUUUUAAAGCUUUGGCCUCAAAUCAGGUAGGACUACCCGCUGAACUUAAGCAUAUCAAUAAGCGGAGGAAAAGAAACUAACAAGGAUUCCCCUAGUAACGGCGAGUGAAGCGGGAUGAGCUCAAAUUUGAAAUCUGGCGGUCUCAGGCCGUCCGAGUUGUAAUCUAGAGAGGUGUUUUCCGUGCUGGACCGUCC
rnacentral:rRNA from 2 species